UACUUUUUUGCAUAUCUCACUUUUUUAGCUCAUUAAGAUAUAGUUAAAAAUUUGGGAUAUUAGGGAAAAUGAGGAGGGAAACGAUAUUGAGGCUUUGGCCUCAACUAUUCUUUGCUUUCAUGUAUUGCCUUAUUUAUGAUUAUUCUAAGUCAAGUGCUAGUGCUUUAUUUGUUAAAGCACCUCCUAAGUAUGUUACUUAUCCCCACUACCAUUACAUCCCGCGACACCCUAAGCAUAGAAGAUUCCCUCCCCAACCAACGCAUCCUCGCCGUUCACCUCCACCUCCCCCACAUAGUUUAUUCCCGCCACAUCCUCGUCGUUCACCUCCAUCUCCUCCACAUAGUUUAUUCCCGCCACCUCCUCCCCGUUCACCUCCACCUCCCUCACCUAGUUUAUCCCCGCCUCCUCCUCCCCGUUCACCAUCACCUCCCCCACCUGGUUUAUCCCCGCCACCUCCUCCCCGUUCACUUACACCUCCCCCACCUAGUAUAUCGCCACCUCCUCCACCUAGUUUAUCCAUGCCUCCUCCUCCCCCACCUGGUUUAUCCUCAUCACCUCCUCCCCGUUCACGUCCACCUCCCCCACCUGGUUUAUCCCUGCCACCUCAUCCUCGUUCACCUUCACCUCCCCCACCUAGUUUAUCAUCGCCUCCUCCUCCUCCACCUGGUUUAUCCCCGCCACCUCCUCCCCGUUCACCUCCACCUCCUCCACCUAGUUUAUCGCCACCUCCUCUUACCCGUUCACCUCCACCUCCCCCACGUCGUCCUAAUUCACGUCUACCUCCCUAAUUCAAUUCAUCACCACUGCUGCUCCUCCUCGUUAACCUAAUCUACAUCCACCACCUUGUUCAUCCACUUAAUUAAUCGCCAACUCACCCACCCAAUUAACCACCUCCUCUGCUUUGUUUGCACAAGCAAAAAAUUGUCCGAAUGUGAACACUUUUCCUCCACCUUAUAAAUAUUAUUAAAUAUCUAUAUAUUUAUACUAUUAUGACUUAUUCAAUACUUUUGAAUAAUAUACUGCAAUAAAACAUAUACCAUGUACUCUCGUAUAUUUGUAACACAAUAAGUUUCAACUAUCAACUCUAUGAUAGAGAAAUUUCAUAUGGCAAUGGAAUUAUAGUGUACUGUAUGUUUAAUUAUAUAUAAUAAUACAUAAGAUAAAUUAAUGUUUGACAAGUCUAUUACAUAUUUUGUAUUACGU